CACGUAGUUAGCCGGGGCUUCUUAGUCAGGUACCGUCAUCUUCUUCCCUGCUGAUAGAGCUUUACAUACCGAAAUACUUCUUCACUCACGCGGCGUCGCUGCAUCAGGGUUCCCCCCCAUUGUGCAAUAUUCCCCACUGCUGCCUCCCGUAGGAGUUUGGGCCGUGUCUCAGUCCCAAUGUGGCCGGUCGCCCUCUCAGGCCGGCUACUGAUCGUCGCCUUGGUGGGCCGCUGCCCCGCCAACUAGCUAAUCAGGCGCGGAUCCAUCUUAUACCACCGGAGUUUUUCACACUGCGCCAUGCGGCGCCGUGCGCUUAUGCGGUAUUAGCAGCCAUUUCUGGCUGUUAUCCCCCAGUAUAAGGCAGGUUAUCCACGUGUUACUCACCCGUCCGCCGCUAAGUCAAUCCUGAUUCCAUCCGAAAACUUCAUCAAGAUUGCUCCGCUCGACUUGCAUGUGUUAGGCACGCCGCCAGCGUUCAU
rnacentral:rRNA from 1 species